GCGAGUGAAGCGGCAAAAGCUCAAAUUUGAAAUCUGGCCUCUGGUCCGAAUUGUAAUUUGAAGAAGCGACUCUGGUACCGGCCCUUGUCUAUGUUCCUUGGAACAGGACGUCACAGAGGGUGAGAAUCCCGUGCGAUGGGGUGUCCGGUGCUAUGUAGAGCGUUUUCGACGAGUCGAGUUGUUUGGGAAUGCAGCUCUAAGUGGGUGGUAAAUUCCAUCUAAAGCUAAAUAUUGGCGAGAGACCGAUAGCGAACAAGUACUGUGAAGGAAAGAUGAAAAGAACUUUGAAAAGAGAGUGAAAAAGUACGUGAAAUUGUUGAAAGGGAAGGGCUUGGGAUCAGACAUUGUAUUUCCAUGGCGCUCUCUCGGGGGUGUCCUCUGGGUUUACAGGGCCAGCAUGGGUUCUGCGGGCAAGAUGAGGGUUUGGGGAAUGUGGCUCUGCUUCGGCGGAGUGUUAUAGCCCUGGACACCGGUUGCCACGCGGGACCGAGGAUUGCGAAUCUAGGAUGCUGGCAUAAUGAUCUUAAGCCGCCC
rnacentral:rRNA from 1 species